UGGGGAAUUUUGGACAAUGGGCGAAAGCCUGAUCCAGCAAUGCCGCGUGUGUGAAGAAGGCCUUCGGGUUGUAAAGCACUUUUGUCCGGAAAGAAAUCCUUGGCUCUAAUACAGUCGGGGGAUGACGGUACCGGAAGAAUAAGCACCGGCUAACUACGUGCCAGCAGCCGCGGUAAUACGUAGGGUGCAAGCGUUAAUCGGAAUUACUGGGCGUAAAGCGUGCGCAGGCGGUUUGCUAAGACCGAUGUGAGAUCCCCGGGCUCAACCUGGGAACUGCAUCGGUGACUGGCAGGCUAGAGUAUGGCAGAGGGGGGUAGAAUUCCACGUGUAGCAGUGAAAUGCGUAGAGAUGUGGAGGAAUACCGAUGGCGAAGGCAGCCCCCUGGGCCAAUACUGACGCUCAUGCACGAAAGCGUGGGGAGCAAACAGGAUUAGAUACCCUGGUAGUCCACGCCCUAAAACGAUGUCAACUAGUUGUUGGGGAUUCAUUUCCUUAGUAACGUAGCUAACGCGUGAAGUUGACCGCCUGGGGAGUACGGUCGCAAGAUUAAAACUUAAAUGAAUUG
rnacentral:rRNA from 1 species